rnacentral:rRNA from 1 species
AGAGUUUGAUCAUGGCUCAGAUUGAACGCUGGCGGCAGGCCUAACACAUGCAAGUCGAGCGCGAAAGGCCUUCGGGCUGAGUAGAGCGGCGGACGGGUGAGUAACGCGUAGGAAUCUACCUGGUAGUGGGGGACAACUUGGGGAAACUCAAGCUAAUACCGCAUACGCCCCAUGGGGGAAAGCGGGGGACCUUCGGGCCUCGCGCUAUCAGAUGAGCCUGCGUAGGAUUAGCUAGUUGGUGAGGUAAAGGCUCACCAAGGCGACGAUCCUUAGCUGGUCUGAGAGGAUGAUCAGCCACACUGGGACUGAGACACGGCCCAGACUCCUACGGGAGGCAGCAGUGGGGAAUAUUGCGCAAUGGGGGCAACCCUGACGCAGCCAUGCCGCGUGUGUGAAGAAGGCCUUCGGGUUGUAAAGCACUUUAAGUGGGGAGAAAGGCCCGUUGGUUAAUAGCCAGCGGGAUUGAUGUUACCCACAGAAUAAGCACCGGCUAACUCCGUGCCAGCAGCCGCGGUA